rnacentral:misc_RNA from 1 species
GUCCUUCUUCAUUUGGUCCAACUGCAUAGCACUUGUUCUUCACCAUGUUCGAUCACUUCCAUCGUCUUCCAGUCUUCUUCUUCCUCCUUUCACUCUCAUUCUCCCAAUCCAUCCAUGAAAACGAAGAAUCAGACACACCCAUUCACCGUUUUCAACAAUAUCUCAGAAUCAACACUGCCCAUCCUAACCCAAACUACACUGCCGCCAUUAACUACCUCACUAACUUCGCCAACUCCAUCCCUAAUCUCCACUCCAAAAUCAUUCACCUUACCCCUACUUCGCCUCUCCUCCUAUUAACCUGGCCAGGUUCAAACCCUUCACUCCCCUCCAUUCUUUUCAAUUCCCAUCUUGAUUCUGUCCCUGCUGAACCACAUAAAUGGACCCACCCGCCGUUUUCCGCUCACAAGACUUCCGAUGGAAGAAUAUUUGCACGGGGAGCGCAGGAUGAUAAGUGUAUUGGUAUGCAGUAUUUGGAAGCAAUCAAAGCGAUUCAAAUGAGUGAUUCAAAAUUUGUGCCACUGAGAAAUGUUCAUAUUCUGUAUGUGCCUGAAGAGGAGGUUGGUGGGUUUGAUGGGAUGGGGAAGUUUGUGGAGUCGAAAGAAUUUGGAGAGUUGAAUCUUGGGUUUGUGAUGGAUGAAGGACAGGCCUCGCCUAAUGAUGAGUUUAGGGUUUUUUAUGCUGAUAGGACUCCUUGGCAUACGGUGAUUAAGGCUGUUGGAAUGCCUGGACAUGGGUCUAAAUUGUAUGAUAAUUCUGCUAUGGAGAAUUUGAUGAAGAGUAUGGAGGUUAUUACUAAGUUUAGGGAGUCUAUGUUUGAUAUGGUCAAGGCUGGAGUGGCUGCUAAUUCUGAGGUCAUCUCAGUGAACCCGGUGUUUCUUAAUGCUGGAACUCCUUCCCCAACUGGAUUUGUGAUGAACAUGCAACCCUCUGAGGCUGAGGCGGGAUUUGAUAUUAGGAUGCCGCCAACAGCUGACCCCGAACUUAUGAGGAAGAUAAUCGAAGAGCAAUGGGCACCAGCUUGGAGGAACAUGACAUAUAAGAUAACCGAGAAAGGAUUUCUAAGGGACAUCAUGGGCCGUCCUCUGAUGACACUUGCUUCCGAUUCCAAUCCUUGGUGGUCUGUGUUCAAUGAAGCUGUUACUAGAGCUGGUGGAAAACUCUCCAAACCUGAAAUAUUAGCUUCGACUACUGAUGCUCGAUUCAUGAGACGGCUGGGAAUUCCUACCUUUGGUUUCUCCCCAAUGAAGAAUACCCCCAUCUUACUUCAUGACCACAAUGAGAACCUCAAGGAUACUGUUUAUUUGGAGGGGAUUAAGGUGUAUGAAUGCAUUAUAAAGUCAUUAAGUUCCUUUGAGGGAUCUAUGAACACUAAUGCUAUGGGUUUCUGAACAAAGAAGCAUCUGAAAACUUGUUUUGCAGGGGAUCUCUCUUUUGGAAAAGAUGAUUUGUGCACACAAUAUGGUUUAUAACAUCAUUUACAAAAAUAACAAGAUCAUCUACAUGGGAAAAAGUGUUUUACCCUUUAAACUCAUGUAAAUGUAAGUGUACCACUUGCAAUAACUUAUGUUGGCAAAGCAUGCAAGACUAUGCUUCUUUGGGAGCUUCUAUCAAUUAUCCUCUGAUGUAAAAGCCCAUAUGAAUUUUAGUCAGUCAAUGUUUCCACCUAUGUCAAAUAAUAAAAUAAAAAGAGCAGCUCGGUGCACAACGGUCUAUUGUACACAACCUUACCCUGCAUUGUUCCUGUAGCUCGAACCAAUGACCUCUUGAGUAUACAUGUGAUAUUGAUAUCCUGUUUUACUUUGCAAGUCUAUCUGUCUAGAUGUACAUGUGUGUAUAUUAUUUAGUGGAUAAUAAAUGUAAUGUCCAAUUUGUG